GCAGGUGUAGUACAAUGGUUAGUACGAGGCCUUGCCAAGGCUUAGACGAGAGUUCGAUUCUCUUCACCUGCUCCA
rnacentral:tRNA from 1 species